rnacentral:rRNA from 1 species
UUCCCUUCCGUAGGUGAACCUGCGGAAGGAUCAUUA